rnacentral:lncRNA from 1 species
GACGCCAUCUCGGAAUCUUCUAUAAAUUGGCAAUAAAUAUUCUUGAAACAGAAAAAAACAUUCUCUACAAUAAGACCUUCUAAUGAAACUCAUUCUUCCACCCUGAUCAACAUCAGAACACAUUUCAGACUGCCCAUUUAAGAGCAACAUAACAUCCUUGGGACCUUCAAGCUAGUCAUAGGGGCAGAAGAACUUAAAAGGAAGCACAAAGCUGGCCGAAACUAUGAGUUGCCCGAAGACCAGUGUACCAUGAU